rnacentral:sRNA from 1 species
AGCAGCCGCGGUAAUUCCAGCUCCAAUAGCGUAUAUUAAAGUUGUUGCAGUUAAAAAGCUCGUAGUUGAAUUUCGGGAUUGACGUGAUGGUCAUGCCUUAAGGGGUAUGAACUGUUGCAGUUGAUUUCUCACCUUCUGGAGAAACUUGAUGUCCUUUAUUGGGUGUCUUGCGGAUCCAGGACCUUUACCUUGAAAAAAUUAGAGUGUUUAAAGCAGGCAUUUUUGCUCGAAUACAUUAGCAUGGAAUAAUAGAAUAGGACGGCAUGGUUCUAUUUUGUUGGUUUCUAGGAUCACCGUAAUGAUUAAUAGGGAUAGUUGGGGGCACUAGUAUUCAAUUGUCAGAGGUGAAAUUCUUGGAUUUAUUGAAGACUAACUACUGCGAAAGCAUUUGCCAAGGAUGUUUUCAUUAAUCAAGAACGAAAGUUAGGGGAUCGAAGACGAUCAGAUACCGUCGUAGUCUUAACCAUAAACUAUGCCGACUAGGAAUCAGACGAUGUUAAUUUUUUAA